rnacentral:rRNA from 1 species
GCUAAUACCGGAUAACAACAGAUGAUGCCUAUCAACUGUUUAAAAGAAUGGUUCUGCUAUCACUCUUGGAUGGACCUGCGGUGCAUUAGCUAGUUGGUAGGGUAACGGCCUACCAAGGCGAUGAUGCAUAGCCGAGUUGAGAGACUGAUCGGCCGCAUUGGGACUGAGACACGGCCCAAACUCCUACGGGAGGCAGCAGGG